rnacentral:tRNA from 1 species
UGGCUCAGUGGUAAAGCGCUUGUCUUCCAUGCAUGAGGCCCUGGGUUCGAUUCCCCCAG